GACGAACGCUGGCGGCGUGCUUAACGCAUGCAAGUCGAACGGAAAGGCCCUGCUUUUGUGGGGUGCUCGAGUGGCGAACGGGUGAGUAACACGUGAGUAACCUGCCCUUGACUUUGGGAUAACUUCAGGAAACUGGGGCUAAUACCGGAUAGGAGCUCCUGCUGCAUGGUGGGGGUUGGAAAGUUUCGGCGGUUGGGGAUGGACUCGCGGCUUAUCAGCUUGUUGGUGGGGUAGUGGCUUACCAAGGCUUUGACGGGUAGCCGGCCUGAGAGGGUGACCGGCCACAUUGGGACUGAGAUACGGCCCAGACUCCUACGGGAGGCAGCAGUGGGGAAUAUUGCACAAUGGGCGGAAGCCUGAUGCAGCAACGCCGCGUGCGGGAUGACGGCCUUCGGGUUGUAAACCGCUUUCGCCUGUGACGAAGCGUGAGUGACGGUAAUGGGUAAAGAAGCACCGGCUAACUACGUGCCAGCAGCCGCGGUGAUACGUAGGGUGCGAGCGUUGUCCGGAUUUAUUGGGCGUAAAGGGCUCGUAGGUGGUUGAUCGCGUCGGAAGUGUAAUCUUGGGGCUUAACCCUGAGCGUGCUUUCGAUACGGGUUGACUUGAGGAAGGUAGGGGAGAAUGGAAUUCCUGGUGGAGCGGUGGAAUGCGCAGAUAUCAGGAGGAACACCAGUGGCGAAGGCGGUUCUCUGAGCCUUUCCUGACGCUGAGGAGCGAAAGCGUGGGGAGCGAACAGGCUUAGAUACCCUGGUAGUCCACGCUGUAAACGGUGGGUACUAGGUGUGGGGUCCAUUCCACGGGUUCCGUGCCGUAGCUAACGCUUUAAGUACCCCGCCUGGGGAGUACGGCCGCAAGGCUAAAACUCAAAGGAAUUGACGGGGCCCCGCACAAGCGGCGGAGCAUGCGGAUUAAUUCGAUGCAACGCGUAGAACCUUACCUGGGUUUGACAUGGAUCGGGAGCGCUCAGAGAUGGGUGUGCCUCUUUUGGGGUCGGUUCACAGGUGGUGCAUGGCUGUCGUCAGCUCGUGUCGUGAGAUGUUGGGUUAAGUCCCGCAACGAGCGCAACCCUUGUUCACUGUUGCCAGCACGUUAUGGUGGGGACUCAGUGGAGACCGCCGGGGUCAACUCGGAGGAAGGUGGGGAUGACGUCAAGUCAUCAUGCCCCUUAUGUCCAGGGCUUCACGCAUGCUACAAUGGCUGGUACAGAGAGUGGCGAGCCUGUGAGGGUGAGCGAAUCUCGGAAAGCCGGUCUCAGUUCGGAUUGGGGUCUGCAACUCGACCUCAUGAAGUCGGAGUCGCUAGUAAUCGCAGAUCAGCAACGCUGCGGUGAAUACGUUCCCGGGGCU
rnacentral:rRNA from 1 species